AUUGAACGCUGGCGGCAUGCUUUACACAUGCAAGUCGAACGGUAACAGGCCGCAAGGUGCUGACGAGUGGCGAACGGGUGAGUAAUGCAUCGGAACGUGCCCAGUCGUGGGGGAUAACUACUCGAAAGAGUAGCUAAUACCGCAUACGAUCUAUGGAUGAAAGCGGGGGACCGUAAGGCCUCGCGCGAUUGGAGCGGCCGAUGUCAGAUUAGGUAGUUGGUGGGGUAAAGGCUCACCAAGCCAACGAUCUGUAGCUGGUCUGAGAGGGCGACCAGCCACACUGGGACUGAGACACGGCCCAGACUCCUACGGGAGGCAGCAGUGGGGAAUUUUGGACAAUGGGCGCAAGCCUGAUCCAGCAAUGCCGCGUGCAGGAAGAAGGCCUUCGGGUUGUAAACUGCUUUUGUACGGAACGAAACGGCUCUGGCUAAUACCCGGGGCUAAUGACGGUACCGGAAGAAUAAGCACCGGCUAACUACGUG
rnacentral:rRNA from 1 species